rnacentral:tRNA from 1 species
UCCCAGGUGGCUCAGUGGUAAAGAAUCUGCCUGCAAAACAGGAGACCUGGGUUCGAUCCCUGGGUCGGGAA